ACUCAAAUGAAUUGACGGGGGUCCGCACAAGCGGUGGAACAUGUGGUUUAAUUCGACACUACGCGAGGAACCUUACCUAGGCUUGACAUGUAAUUGCUGUCCCUAGAAAUAGGGAGUUCUGGGUUAAACCAGACAAUUACACAGGUGCUGCAUGGCUGUCGUCAGCUCGUGUCGUGAGAUGUUGGGUUAAGUCCUUUAACGAGCGCAACCCUUGCCGCUAGUUACCAUCUUUAAGUAGGGGACUCUAGCGGGACUGCCUGGGGGAACCAGGAGGAAGGCGGGGAUGACGUCAAGUCCGCAUGGCCCUUAUGUCUAGGGCUACACACGUGUUACAAUGGCGAAUACAAAGGGAAGCUAGUCCGCGAGGAGGAGCAAAUCCCAGAAAGUUCGUCUAAGUUCGGAUCGAAGUCUGCAACUCGACUUCGUGAAGUUGAAAUCGCUAGUAAUCGCGUAUCAGAACGACGCGGUGAAUACGUUCUCGGACCUUGUACACACCGCCCGU
rnacentral:rRNA from 1 species